rnacentral:rRNA from 1 species
UACGUAGGUGGCAAGCGUUGUCCGGGAUUAUUGGGCGUAAAGCGCGCGCAGGCGGCUUUCUAAGUCCAUCUUAAAAGUGCGGGGCUUAACCCCGUGAUGGGAUGGAAACUGGGAAGCUGGAGUAUCGGAGAGGAAAGUGGAAUUCCUAGUGUAGCGGUGAAAUGCGUAGAGAUUAGGAAGAACACCGGUGGCGAAGGCGACUUUCUGGACGACAACUGACGCUGAGGCGCGAAAGCGUGGGGAGCAAACAGG